rnacentral:miRNA from 1 species
UCGGAACAGGCGUAUUUUUUGC